rfam:Pseudomonas fluorescens F113, complete genome.
CUUGAUGGUGGCUGUACGCAGGGCGCUCAGGCGCGCCGGCUUCUUCGGUUCCCCGGUCUACUAACCUGCGUACAGCUGCCACCCCA